GAUGAACGCUGGCGGCGUGCCUAAUACAUGCAAGUCGAGCGAACAGACGAGGAGCUUGCUCCUCUGACGUUAGCGGCGGACGGGUGAGUAACACGUGGAUAACCUACCUAUAAGACUGGGAUAACUUCGGAAAACCGGAGCCAAUAACGCAUAAUAUAUUGAACCGCAUGGUUCAAUAGUGAAAGACGGUUUUGCUGUCACUUAUAGAUGGAUCCGCGCCGCAUUAGCUAGUUGGUAGGGUAACGGCUUACCAAGGCGACGAUGCGUAGCUGACCUGAGAGGGUGAUCGGCCACACUGGAACUGAGACACGGUCCAGACUCCUACGGGAGGCAGCAGUAGGGAAUCUUCCGCAAUGGGCGAAAGCCUGACGGAGCAAUGCCGCGUGAGUGAUGAAGGUCUUCGGAUCGUAAAACUCUGUUAUUAGGGAAGAACAAAUGUGUAAGUAUCUAUGCACGUCUUGACGGUACCUAAUCAGAAAGCCACGGCUAACUACGUG
rnacentral:rRNA from 1 species